rnacentral:rRNA from 1 species
AGCGAACGCUGGCGGCAGGCUUAACACAUGCAAGUCGAGCGCCCCGCCAGGGGUGCGGCGGACGGGAGAGUAGCACGUGGGAACAUACCCUUUGGUUUGGAACAACCGAGGGAAACUUCAGCUAAUACCGGACAAGCGCUUACGGGGGAAGAUUUAUCGCCGAAAGCUUGGGCCGCGUCUGAGUAGCUAUUUGGUGAGGUGACGGCUCACCAAGGCGACGAUCAGUAGCUGGUCUGGGAGGAUGAUCAACCUCACUGGGACUGAGACCCGGCCCAGACUCCUACGCAGCGCUGCAGUGGAUAAUAUAAUACACUGGAGCCAACCGUGAUCCAGCCGUGCCGCGUGAGUGGUGAAUGCCUUAGGGUUGUACAGCUCUUUUGCACGGGGAGUUAGUGACGGUACCGGGUGAAUAAGCCCCGGCUAACUACGUG